UAGCUACAGUAACAGUUAUAGUAGUAGUAGUGACGCUUCAAACUUUGUUGCUACCCCUCUAGCUUAAUUUGUGGAUGCUCCGUCUAGCAUAAAGUUUUGCCAUUUAGAAAUCAGAGUCAGGUGACAUGGUAAGAGAAAGUCUGUGUCUGUAGGAGGUGAUGGGUGAAACUAACCCAGGACUGUCACACAGGAGACUGCUGUUCAUGUUCUAUUUUAUUUUUAAAACGGCUUUCAAAACUAGAGUUACAAGCAGGGGCGGAGCCAGGGGGUGGCCAACCCCCCGGCCCCCCCACCACCGCUUUGCCGGCAACUUUUUUGCGGAACCAUUUCUGUACACAGGUGUUCCCAUAUGGACGCAUGUCAACAGCACACCCCAACAAGUACUUCUCCACCCAAACUGAAGGUGGCGGUAAUACACUCAAUUACACACACAAUCACAGAAGAAGAAGAAGUAGCGUUGUUGUUCGCGUGUGCUCCAAGCGACUUUGCGCGUGCAGUAGGAGGACUGUCUGUUUCCCGCCGACAGAGAAGAGGCAAAAUGAAGAGGAAAACUACUUCCUACUUUGUCAGUCAGUGUAGUAAGCCGAGUAAUGAGAGGAGGGAAAGUGGUGUGGAGAAGGAGAUGCAGGAUGACAGUGAUGAGACAGAGUCAGACAUUGAAGGAGAGCGCUCAUCUGUUGCUCUUCAUGGAAGUGAACAUACAGAUGAUCGACCUGCCAAUUCAGAUAGUGACAGUGAUGGUGGAGUAGAUCCCCCACAGUGUGCUCUGCAAGACUUCAUACGGAUCAAGGGCACAGCAGUGCAGUUGGGCUUUCAGUGAAAUGCCCAGACCACAGUGGACCGCCAGACAUCUCCAGGUCUCGAGCUGAAGGUCCAGUCCAGCCACAGCUUGCCGUGUUUCCAAAGACUGCCAUGGGGGACAGACAAAGAAACUUCCAGGCCUCGUGGUAUUCCCAUCAUAUAUGGAUCGAAUAUUCUCAGUGCAAGGAUGCUUUUUAUUGUUAUGCCUGCAGGAACUUUGGCCUUCCAAACACUGAAUCAGUUUUCACUUCUGAUAGGGGCUAUAAAAACUGGAAAAAGGCUAUGUUCAAAGAUGGAGGCUUUACAUCCCAUGCUAAGUCUGAAGCACACAUCAAUGCUAUGUUAGCCCGGAAAAAUUUUGAGACACAAUUAAAAAAAAUUUGAGACA
rnacentral:lncRNA from 1 species